rnacentral:rRNA from 1 species
AUUGAACGCUGGCGGCAGGCUUAACACAUGCAAGUCGAACGAGGGGCGGACGGGUGAGUAAUGUGUGUGAACCUGCCUCAUGGAGGGGGAUAACUACUGGAAAGGGUAGCUAAUACCGCAUACGAUGGGAUGUGCCCAGAUGGGAUUAGCUAGUAGGUGGGGUAAUGGCUCACCUAGGCGACGAUCCGUAGCUGGUCUGAGAGGAUGACAAGCUAAACUGGAACUGAGACACGGUCCAGACUCCUACGGGAGGAAGCGGUGGGGAAUAUUGGACAAUUGGAGCAAGCCUGAUGCAGUCAUGCCGCGUGUCUGAAGAAGGCCUUCGGGUUGUAAAGUAGUUUCCGCCAGGAGGCGGUAGGCGCAGAAGAAGCACCGGCUAACUCCGUGCCAGCAGCCGCGGUAAUUC